rnacentral:rRNA from 1 species
CAGCAGCCGCGGGAAUACGUAGGGUGCGAGCGUUAAUCGGAAUUACUGGGCGUAAAGCGUGCGCAGGCGGUUGUGUAAGACAGGUGUGAAAUCCCCGGGCUUAACCUGGGAACUGCGCUUGUGACUGCACAGCUAGAGUAUGGCAGAGGGGGGUGGAAUUCCACGUGUAGCAGUGAAAUGCGUAGAGGUGUGGAGGAACACCGAUGGCGAAGGCAGCCCCCUGGGCCAAUACUGACGCUCAUGCACGAAAGCGUGGGGAGCAAACAGGAUUAGAUACCCGAGUAGUCCCUGUCUCUUAUAC